UACAGAGGGUGCAAGCGUUAAUCGGAAUUAUUGGGCGUAAAGGGCAUGUAGGCGGGUUUAUAAGUUUGAUGUGAAAUCCCUGGGCUUAACCUGGGAAUGGCGUUGAAGACUGUAGAUCUAGAGUGAGGGAGAGGGCUGUGGAAUUUCCGGUGUAGCAGUGAAAUGCGUAGAGAUCGGAAAGAACACCAGUGGCGAAGGCGGCAGCCUGGUCCUUAACUGACGCUGAGGUGCGAAAGCGUGGGGAGCAAACAGG
rnacentral:rRNA from 1 species